CCUUCUCUCCACUGAAGUGAUCACACCCAUCCAUCCAUCAGCCAUGAAGAUCCACCACCUUCUCUUGGGUGUCUGCUUCAUCAUCAUGAUGGCUACUCCAGGGCUAGCACCGGAUACGCCUCAUGAUACCGGCAGCUGUACGCUGAAUGGAGGUUUCUGCUAUCAUGAGGCCCGGUGUCCUUGGUGUUUCAGACAGUAUGGAACAUGUGACUCAAAUGUGCUCUGCUGUUUUAGGGAAAGCUGGCGUCCUGAAUGUGAGGAAGCAACAACACCGAGGGAUGCAAACAGUCCCAAACCAACAGAACCCAUGGGUCCACAAACUACAACUCCCCAGAAAGCACAACAAACUGGCAAAUGUGAAUGAGCAUGCAAGGGU